rnacentral:rRNA from 1 species
GAUGAACGCUGGCGGCGUGCCUAAUACAUGCAAGUCGAGCGAACGGACGAGAAGCUUGCUUCUCUGAUGUUAGCGGCUGACGGGUGAGUAACACGUGGAUAACCUACCUAUAAGACUGGGAUAACUUCGGGAAACCGGAGCUAAUACCGGAUGAUAUUUUGAACCGCAUGGUUCAAAAGUGAAAGACGGUCUUGCUGUCACUGAUAGAUGGAUCCGCGCUGCAUUAGCUAGUUGGUAAGGUAACGGCUUACCAAGGCAACGAUGCAUAGCCGACCUGAGAGGGUGAUCGGCCACACUGGAACUGAGACACGGUCCAGACUCCUACGGGAGGCAGCAGUAGGGAAUCUUCCGCAAUGGGCGAAAGCCUGACGGAGCAACGCCGAGUGAGUGAUGAAGGUCUUCGGAUCGUAAAACUCUGUUACUAGGGAAGAACAUAUGUGUAAGUAACUGUGCACAUCUUGACGGUACCUAAUCAGAAAGCCACGGCUAACUACGUG